rnacentral:rRNA from 1 species
GAUGAACGCUGGCGGCGUGCCUAAUACAUGCAAGUCGAGCGAACAGACGAGGAGCUUGCUGCUCUGACGUUAGCGGCGGACGGGUGAGUAACACGUGGAUAACCUACCUAUAAGACUGGGAUAACUUCGGGAAACCGGAGCUAAUACCGGAUAAUAUUUUGAACCGCAUGGUUCAAUAGUGAAAGACGGUUUUGCUGUCACUUAUAGAUGGAUCCGCGCUGCAUUAGCUAGUUGGUAAGUUAACGGCUUACCAAGGCAACGAUGCAUAGCCGACGGGAGAGGGUGAUCGGCCACACGGGAACUGAGACACGGUCCAGACUCCUACGGGAGGCAGCAGUAGGGAAUCUUCCGCAAUGGGCGAAAGCCUGACGGAGCAACGCCGCGUGAGUGAUGAAGGUCUUCGGAUCGUAAAACUCUGUUAUUAGGGAAGAACAAAUGUGUAAGUAACUGUGCACAUCGUGACGGUACCUAAUCAGAAAGCCACGGCUAACUACGUG